rnacentral:rRNA from 1 species
GAUGAACGCUGGCGGCGUGCCUAAUACAUGCAAGUCGAGCGAACAGACGAGGAGCUUGCUCCUUUGACGUUAGCGGCGGACGGGUGAGUAACACGUAGGUAACCUACCUAUAAGACUGGGAUAACUUCGGGAAACCGGAGCUAAUACCGGAUAAUAUUUCGAACCGCAUGGUUCGAUAGUGAAAGAUGGCUUUGCUAUCACUUAUAGAUGGACCUGCGCCGUAUUAGCUAGUUGGUAAGGUAACGGCUUACCAAGGCAACGAUACGUAGCCGACCUGGGGGGGGGGCGGGCCACAUGGGAAUUGAGCCAGGGUCCAGCCACAUAGGGGGGGAGCCGGAGGGGAAUCUUCCGCAAGGGGGGAAAGCCUGACGGAGCAACGCGGCGGGAGUGAGAAAGGUCUUGGGAUCGAAAAACUGUUUUAUGGGGGAAAAACAAAGGUGUAAGAAACUGUGCCCGUCUUGAGGGUACUUAAUAAAAAAGCCACGGCAAACUACGUG